rnacentral:ribozyme from 1 species
AAGAAGAAGAAGAAGAAGAAGAAGAAGAAAUAAAAAAGUUCGUCACAUCUACGUAUUUAUUAUCAUCUGAACUUUUAUCACGAUUAAUACUACUUACAUUUCA